CUUAAGGUUGAUGAAUGCUUAAGGCUGAUGAAUGUUUAAGGCUGAUGAAUGUUUAAGGCUGAUGAAUGCUUAAGGCUGAUGAAUGCUUAAGGUUGAUGAAUGCUUAAAGCUGAUGAAUGCUUAAGGUUGAUGAAUGCUUAAGGUUAAUGAAUGCUUAAGGUUGAUGAAUGCUUAAGGUUGAUGAAUGCUUAAGGUUGAUGAAUGCUUAAGGCUGAUGAAUGCUUAAGGUUGAUGAAUGCUUAAGGCUGAUGAAUGCUUAAGGUUGAUGAAUGCAUAAGGUUGAUGAAUGCAUAAGGUUGAUGAUUGCUUAAGGCUGAUGAAUGCUUAAGGCUGAUGAAUGCUUAAGGCUGAUGAUUGCUUAAGGUU
ensembl:lncRNA